AGUUUGAUUAUGGCUCAGAUUGAACGCUGGCGGGAUGCUUUACACAUGCAAGUCGAACGGCAGCACGGACUUCGGUCUGGUGGCGAGUGGCGAACAGGUGAGUAAUGUAUCGGAACGUGCCUAGUAGCGGAUAACUACACGAAAGCGUAGCUAAUACCGCAUACGCCCUUCGGUAAGCGGGGGACAGCCGGGCCUCGCACUAUUAGAGCGGCCGAUAUCGGAUUAGCUAGUUGGUGGGGUAACGGCUCACCAAGGCGACGAUCCGUAGCUGGUUUGAGAGGACGACCAACCACACUGGGACUGAGACACGGCCCAGACUCCUACGGGGAGGCAGCAGUGAAAUUUUGGACAAUGGGGAAACCCUGAUCCAGCCAUCCCGCGUGUGCGAUGAAGGCCUUCGGGUUGUAAAGCACUUUUGGCGGGAAAGAAACGGCGGGAUAAUACCCGUGCAACUGACGGUACCUGCAGAAUAAGCACCGGCUAACUACGACCCGCGGUAAUACGUAAGUGCAAGCGUUAAUCGGAAUUACUGGGCGUAAAGCGUACGCAGGCGGUUCGGAAAGAAAGAUGUGAAAUCCCAGAGCUUAACUUUGGAACUGCAUUUUUAACUACCGAGCUAGAGUGUGUCAGAGGAGAUUGAAUUCCGCGUGUAGCAGUGAAAUGCGUAGAUAUGCGGAGGAACACCGAUGGCGAAGGCAGCCUCUGGGAUAACACUGACGCUCAUGCACGAAAGCGUGGGGAGCAAACAGGGAUUAGAUACCCUGGUAGUCGCCUAAACGAUGUCAACUAGCUGUUGGGGCCUUCCGGGCCUUGGUAGCGCAGCUAACGCGUGAAGUUGACCGCCUGGGGAGUACGGUCGCAAGAUUAAAACUCAAAGGAAUUGACGGGGAUUGCACAAGCGGUGGAUGAUGUGGAUUAAUUCGAUGCAACGCGAAAAACCUUACCUACCCUUGACAUGUCUGGAAUCCCGAAGAGAUUUGGGAGUGCUCGCAAGAGAACCGGAACACAGGUGCUGCAUGGCUGUCGUCAGCUCGUGUCGUGAGAGAUGUUGGGUUAAGUCCACAACGAGCGCAACCCUUGUCAUUAGUUGCUACGAAAGGGCACUCUAAUGAGACUGCCAUUGACAAACCGGAGGAAGGUGGGGAUGACGUCAAGUCCUCAUGGCCCUUAUGGGUAGGGCUUCACACGUCAUACAAUGGUCGGGACAGAGGGUCGCCAACCCGCGAGGGAGCCAAUCCCAGAAACCCGAUCGUAGUCCGGAUCGCAGUCUGCAACUCGACUGCGUGAAGUCGGAAUCGCUAGUAAUCGCGGAUCAGCAUGUCGCGGUGAAUACGUUCCCGGGUCUUGUACACACCGCCCGUCACACCAUGGGAGUGGGUUUACCAGAAGUAGUUAGCCUAACCGUAAGGAGGGCGAUUACCACAUUAGGAUUCAUGACUGGGUGAAGUCGUAACAAGGUAA
rnacentral:rRNA from 1 species